GUCCUGGGCUGGAACUGGUUAUAUUAAUGAGCAAUAUUUAAUUAAAAGCUAAUUGAAUAUUCCAGACGGCAAUUAUCUUGCAAUAGGGAUGCCAAAUCCGACACGAGGAGGCAGUCUACAGGCCUCCUAGUGCCCCUGUGGACGGCAGAGGAGAACCCGGCCUGGUCUUUCUGCGCCAUCCUCUCGCCUUCUGGUGCUGCAUCAGACAGUGCUCCACUGCUAUUCACAGUGUUUUCCACAGCCAAUUUUUUUCAGAAGAGGGUGGUCAGGUCCUUCUUCCUAGUCUGUCUUAGUCUGGAAGCUCUGCUGAAACCUUUCCACCAUGGGUGACCCUGCGGGGAUCAGAAAUACUACCAGUGGCAUAGUUUUCAGCAUCACAGAAACACGCAGCCACCACGGUAUGACAACCGACAGAUGGGCGAUGUGGUUCCCUAACUGGGAAUUGAAUCCAGGCUGAGGCAGUAUGAGCACCGAAUCUUAACCACUAGAACACCAGGGCUGGCAUUCCCUGAUUUACUGAGGCAUAAUUUACAUAUGACAAAUUCACUCAUUUUUAAGUGUACGACUUAAUGAGUUUUGGCAGUUGUAUAUAUCUGUGAAACCACCAGCAUAAUCAAGAUUUAGAACAUUUCCAACACUCCGGAAAGUUCCCUUGUGCCCCUUUGUAGUCAUUCCCCUCCACAGGCCCCCAGCCUGAAGCAAUCAUUAAUCUGCUUUAAGUCGCUAUACUUUUAUUUCUAGAAUUUUGUGUAAAUAGAAUCAUACAGCAUGUAAUCUUUUGUGUUUGGCUCUUUUCUCUUUUCAUAAUGUUUUUGAGCUUCAUCUGUAGUGUUGCAUAUUUUAUACAAGUUACAGUAAAAUCGUUACUAAUGAGAC
rnacentral:lncRNA from 1 species